rfam:Clostridiales bacterium GWD2_32_59 gwd2_scaffold_1573, whole genome shotgun sequence.
AGGAGCCGGAUGAGUCGAGAGGUUCACGUCCGGUUCUGUGAGAAUGUGGAGGGGAGGCUCCUCUGCGUUACUCGAC